UGGUAAGACUACGGGUUUCUCCUGCGGUUUCCAAGGGCUGCCUGCCGGUGGCAACAGGGCUGGGGCCGUGCUGGCAGCUGCAGUGGGUUUGGAUCCUCCUGCUGCCGAGCGGACUUUGCUCCCCGGCAGCCAGCCUGGACAGAAGCCCCGCUUCCUGGGAAUGACGUAACGGAAAGGUUCAGCUCUGGAGAAGGAGUUGCUUGUCUGAAAAACCAGCAGAUGGAGUCUGUUGGAAGACACAAGGGCCCAGCAGUAGCCUAAGAAACCAGCUCGAUUUUGUAAACCUUUGCCAUGUGAGGUGCAGUCUGGAAACCUCUGCUAAAGAAGUUGGUCGAUGCUGAAGCAUCUGCAUUUGCCGGGAACCCGGUUCACCGUAUCCAAAGGCAGCCAUCGCUCAGCUCGCUGGAUGCCCGGGAUGCUGUGUGGCUUCCUGAGCUUGCACCUGUGAAGCACCCAGCCUUCGGGGAAACACAACUGUCGUUUCAGGUAAUGCAUGCAGCAGCAUGGCAGCUCGCUCCGGCGUGCGGUGGUCCUCUCAAAGUACCAUCUGCUGGCUUCUGAUUUAAUUCCAGAUGAUCUUAGUCCCGGCAAAAAAAUGCAGUCUUUGCCGAUCAAGGAAUAUAGAGCACGCGGUAAGUACAGUUCAAAAGCUGCAUUACCCUUAUCUAUUAGUAAUGAUCAAUUAGCAUGAAGGUCAGUGGGCAGCUUGGAAAUGAGUCAGAUAAGAAGGGCAGAAGGAGGAUUUGAAUGGAAAGGAAAUUCUUGAUUCAUAUUCGGCGACAUAUAUUUAAAGUCAUAACUCUGUAACAGUGGGGGUGGAGGGUAGCGUUAAGUAGUCCUGCUGUCACACUGACUCAACCAGAGUGUAAAUCACGGUGCAGGGAGUGCUGUGGCUUUUUCCUGGUGCUAAAGCAUCGUACCGUACCACAGAAGGGAUUGCAAGUUGCAAGAAGUCCUCCUUGCUCUCCAGCCCACCCUAAAGAUCCCUGGGCAGCGUGAACUCCCUCGCAUGGCACAGCACCGCAGGGCUGGUGGCUGCCGUCAGUGCCACCAAGAGCUUAAAAUUCUGGUCCUUGGCUUGCACCAACAUGAGCGGGAUGGGUGGUGAGGGGUGAUGGAGGUGGGGGGCCUCCACGGUCUUCUGAGCAUCAUCUGGGCAGGAGGUACCGUUCAACACAAUGUUUUUGGUGGAAGAAGAAAAGACGACUUGUAACCAAUUAAUUAACUUGCAAAUCUUGCACAGAUGAUCCGUGCGUGCCACAUUAAACAGUAACUGGCCCUUCCCAUGUGUAUGUGCACUCUGAGGUAAAUAAAACCGGUAUUAAAAAACAUUACUGAGGGUCACCUGUGCACACCCAGGGUAAUGUGGGCCCCUCAACACCAGCACGUGCUGCAGCCUGGUUCCUGCUGCGAGCUGCUGCCGUUCAGGCAGAGAUGGCCGGGCACACAGUUGGGGUAGGCAGCGUCACAACGCACUGCCUACACGCUCUCUUUACCCUGUCAGCCACUGUGAGUAGGUGUCGCUUAAAAUGAUCUUAUCUUCACCUGAGUCUCCUUCUGCGAAAGCAGCCAGCACGCUGCCAAACAGACAGGUUACGGGGGGGUAAGACACAGAGGUGGGUGUUUUGGUGUGACACCCCAUUUGCAGGAGAGGAGAUGCAAGGCUGUGCCCGGAGGGACGGUGGUGGGGUUUUCCCUGGCUGCCAGUGUGGCUGCAGGGGGAACAGUGCUCUCUCUGCAUCCCGGGGCUGCGGGGACAGCCCUGGCGUGGUGGCCACCACUGCCUCGGGAGGGACCUGGCCCCCAGCUGGGGAGCAUCCUCCCCAGGCCAGGGAAAAGGGAGCUUCCUCAGAAGACACAUCAAAGCUGUUCCUGGGUAUAAGAACUGAUGUCUGAGGCAACUUCUCUGGAUUAAAACAAAGCGAACUGUGGCACUUGCCACAGAUUUCAGACAGCAUGAUGCGAUCUUUCUUGUUUUCUCACACUUACAUAUCCCGGGUUUUCACUGUUGCUAUGGGGCAGGUUGGUGGAUGGGUGAAAAUAAAUCUGUCACUUUUUGGUGUGUGAAGCUUAUUUCUGCCUAUUUCUCCCACACAUAGGUACACGAUCAUGCAUGCUGAGGCUUAACGGAACACUUCACCUCCUUCCGCACUGGAUGUGCGAAGAAACACACGUGCGCUGGGCUUCCAGCUUCUGUUCCCAAAAUACCAUAUGUUCUGGCCUGUGAGCUUAAAAUAUCCUGAUGAAGUGAUGUUUUAAAGCACGAGAGCGCUACACGCAGGGUUUCUUCUCCGUUCUCUGGAGGAUAAUUAAUCCCCUUGAAAUAGAGAGAUAGUAGUGAAAUAGGUGCUCUUGGUACCAAGCAACUGCACUGCCUGCUGAAGAUGAUGAAACACGGUGUCUUCUGACAACUUGACAUUGUGCGACAAGAAGCCUUAAAACUGAGAAAUAAACCUGCGUUUGGCAGUCAGCUGGUAAUUCAGCGACUGAUGGUGCUGAUUAAUAUUCGAUGGGGUGCUUGCUUUAUAGUGCCUAUCCCGUCGCCGACGAGUUCUUAAAACAUACGGAAGGUGCAGCUGGAGUUUGCAUGGAGCAAAAUGGUGGAGGAACUUCUUCUGCUGAGCACUGCAGCCACGUCGUCCCCUCCAAAGCCGGUCCCAGCUGUGCGUGGUGGAAACAUGAAGGCGAAAGGACUGACUCACUCCCUCCUAAGAUGGCUUUGAUCCAGGACCAGCCCUUCCCAGCCUGUGCCAGGCGUAGGUGCGGGCAUCGUCGCUCCUAUUGAGCACUGCUAAUGUUACAAUUAAAAAAAUAAUCCAGUCUCUUUAUUGAGCAAAUGAUUUCUGCAGAGAAUAGUGUGAUAUAUUAAAAUGUCUGUGUAGAAAGCUCCCAAGGGAGAAAUUCAGAAGAAGAAAGAUUGGAUCACUAAAACUGAGAGAGAAACCAGGAGUCGCUAAUGUGAAGCUGAAGGAAGAAGACCAAAUCUAGUUAGAGGGUCUUCUAACCAGCAUGGCUUUUUUCAUAAUCAUCCUAUCAAGAUGAUCUUUGCAAUAGGUAACCUCUGACUUCAAUACCAAUAUAUAUGUCACCAGACACAAAUCCCUCAAGAGCUAACUCAAUGAUAUUUCAAGUAAAAACUACUAGGCAGAAGUGCAAUCUGAUUAUCGGCGUGUAUGCAGCCUGGGAGGCACAGAAGAUCUAUGAACACUGAGGCCGGGGAGAAGCGCGGGGCAGGAGCAGGCUGAGCCCCACGCUGUGGUCCAGCUGGCUGGCCACCACUGCCCCUCCAGAAGUCCCACUGAUGGCACGGGGCAUGUUACAGCAGAUCCCCAAAGAAAGGAAAUCUUGAGCUGAUUAUCAGUAUUAAUCGUUAUCGAUACAGGCUGGGGGAUGUUGUGAUAGAGAUCAGCCCUGCGGAAAAGGACUUGGGGGUACUGGGGGAUGAAAAGCUGAACAUGAACCAACAAUGUGCACUGCAGCCCAGAAGGCCAAUCGCAUCCUGGGCUGCAUCAAAAGAACCGUGGCCAGCAGAUCCAGAGAGGUGAUUCUCCCCCUCUGCUCUGUUCUCGUGAGACCCCACC